GUUGUCGCAGGGGAAGAAGACAGUGACGGUACCCUGUGAGAAAGUCACGGCUAACUACGUGCCAGCAGCCGCGGUAAUACGUAGGUGACAAGCGUUGUCCGGAUUUACUGGGUGUAAAGGGCGCGUAGGCGGGAUAGCAAGUCAGUCGUGAAAUGCCGAGGCUUAACCUCGGAGCUGCGAUUGAAACUGUUAUUCUUGAGUAUCGGAGAGGAAAGCGGAAUUCCUAGUGUAGCGGUGAAAUGCGUAGAUAUUAGGAGGAACACCAGUGGCGAAGGCGGCUUUCUGGACGACAACUGACGCUGAGG
rnacentral:rRNA from 1 species